CCUACGGGUGGCAGCAGUGAGGAAUAUUGGUCAAUGGGCGCGAGCCUGAACCAGCCAAGUCGCGUGAGGGACGACGGUCCUAUGGAUUGUAAACCUCUUUUGUCGGGGAACAAAGUCGCCCACGUGUGGGCUGCUGCGUGUACCCUACGAAAAAGCAUCGGCUAACUCCGUGCCAGCAGCCGCGGUAAUACGGAGGAUGCGAGCGUUAUCCGGAUUUAUUGGGUUUAAAGGGUGCGUAGGCGGACAGUCAAGUCAGCGGUAAAAAUGCGGUGCUCAACGCCGUACAGCCGUUGAAACUGGCAGUCUGGAGUGGGGGAGAGGUAGGCGGAAUGCGUGGUGUAGCGGUGAAAUGCAUAGAUAUCACGAAGAACUCCGAUUGCGAAGGCAGCAUACCGGAGCCCGACUGACGCUGAGGCACGAAAGCGUGGGUAUCGAACAGGAUUAGAUACCCCAGUAGUC
rnacentral:rRNA from 1 species